CGUUUUCGGCCGUUUUCACUAAUACCCUGAAACACCUUUCUUCUUCAGCAAUCGAUGGACAUACCCCUGUAACUAGAAUGAUCAUCUCCUUCAACUCCAUAACAGAACACCCAAAUACCACCUCAACUUCACCUCAUAAACAUCCAUGAAUCUGCUCUAAAAAAAUAACCCAAAAAGUAUCUCCAAAUCGAGUAGAAAAACAGCCAUGACUUUUAGUGCGAAAAAUUAGCUUGAAAACACCGUAAAAACCCAGUAACAUUGAGCUAAAAAACAGCCCUCAAACCUGGCAAAAAUUAGCUUUAAAUUUACCUAGAACACCCCAUGAAUCACCUCCAAAUCCCAGUCAAAAGGCAGCAAAACCGGCCAUGAAAUAGCUCAGAUUUAGUUGCUAAAACAGUUCAACGAAGUAAUGAAAGCAUAACUACUUCGUGCGACAAAAAUGCUGCAGCCGCUGCUCGUCUUUUUCCUUCAAAAACUGACCUUCAAUCUCUGUUGCAACCAGCUCUAAGAACAUGAAAGCAAUAUCUCAAAUUGUAGCUCGUCACCGUGGAAAUAGCGGCCUGUGUGUGCGAUUUGCUGAUUCUCGCGGGGCUUUCAGAUCCGGCUAGUUUUUUUUAUUUAACUUUCC
rnacentral:lncRNA from 1 species